UUCUCUCUUUUAAACCUUUGUGAUGAAAAUGUUCAGUUUCUGAAUUCUUUUUUUUUUUUGCAGCAGGAACAUUAUAAUAUUUUGCAAAUGUAUCUGUAGGGAGCAGCAGCUGCUUAUUUUUGAGAAGGAUUCAUGAAACUAUGAAAUCUAACAGCUGAAGUGGGUUUAUGCAAAUUCACCCUGUUAUUAAAAAAAGCCUCUUGCAGUUUGAAGUUUGUGUCACACGACUGAAUCAAAGAGCAUGAUGAUUGGGCUGAGGGUCACUCAGUACUACAUCUUUGUUAUAAUGUUAACCAAAGGUGUCAGCAGUGAUGAGAUCAGACUGGACCAGUCUCCUGUUGUGGUAAAGAGACCUGGAGAAACUGUGAAGAUCUCCUGUAAGAUAAAUGGAUAUUCAAUGACAAGCAACUACAUACACUGGAUCAGACAGAAACCAGGGAAAGCUCUGGAAUGGCUUGGCUGGAUGGAUACAGGCAAUAAUGAUGCAACACAUGCAGAGUCUGUGAAGAACCAGCUCACUUUAACAGAAGACGUCUCAGCAAGCACACAGUACUUAGAGGCCAAGAGUCUGAGGACAGAGGACACUGCGGUUUAUUACUGUGCCUGAAGUUCUACAGUGACUGGAGCUGAGGAAGCAGCUGUACAAAAACCAGACACAUUGUAACUGAACUAACUGAAGUUGCUUAACUUAUAAUUGUAACACAGAUGAACACAGUUUGUAUCUAUUUACUGCUCCAAUUAUCUAUAAAUAUACCUGGAUAUAACCCUAAAAUGGGCGUGGCCUAAACUAAUUAUCAGGAAUGAAAAUCUAGAUAAACCCUGUUUCUAUGCUCCUGGAAACACUUGAAAAAGCCACAGGUAGAGAUGGCAGCUCUGUCAGCAUGCUGUGUGACAUCCCAUUCCCAAUACACACUGUAAUACACUCAUCACUUAAAAAGUGCUCAUUGCAUAAAAAGUUGUUUACAAUGGCUACUGUAUGUAAUCUCAAACAAGUGGUGACACGACCCACAAAAAUUGCUAUGGAUAAUACAUCUAAAUCAACAUGCAUAGAUCAUAUUUUUACUAAUGUUCCUGAUUUAUGUUCACAAGCUGUUUCUGUGGGGGUAGGAUGUAGUGAUCAUAACCUGAUAGCAAUUUCAAUAAUGAUGAAAAUUCCUAAAUCUGGUGGAAGGAUCAUGUAUCGUAGAUCAUUUAAAAACUUUAAUCCCAGAUUGUUUGUUGAUGAGGUAAAUAACUCAAAUUGGUCUGCAGUUCUUCAGGAGGGGGAUGUAAAUGCUUCUCUUAACAUUUUUAUGGACACUUUUAGUAAAAUAGAUGAUAAAUAUGCACCUCUCCGGAAAAGAUCUAUAAAAAUCAACAGUGCUCCAUGGUUAGAUGAAGAGCUAAUGUCCCUCAUGAGGCAAAGGGACAAUGUCAAAGAUAUGGCCUUCAAAAUCAAAAUGUGAUGUAGACAGAGUACAUUAUCGCAAGUUGAGAAACAAAGCUACAAACUUAAAUAACAUAAAAAAGAAAGCAUAUUAUGGACAAAAAAUCUCAAAUUCUAGUAAUGAUAGCAAACAAUUGUGGAAAGUAUUACAGGAAUUGAUGUAUAAAAAAUCAAAUAAUUUGAAUAUGUACAUGGAGACCAAUGAUGGUGACAUUAUUAGUAAACCUUGUGAUAUUGCCAAUCAUUUGAAUGAUAUUUUUAUAUGCAAAGUAGAACAAUUAAGAUCAUGUAUGAUAAUGCAAGAUAUUGAAUCUCCUUGUGACAAUGUUAGAUUUAUUAUGAGAGGGAAAACUUGCUCCCUGUCAUUUAAUACUUGUAGUGAGGACAACGUUAAAAAGUUGCUUCUCUCCUUAUCUGAUGAGAAAACACCUGGUAAUGAUCAUCUUGAUGGCAAAAUUUUUAAAAUUGUUGCAAAUAUUUUGUGCAAACCAAUAUGUCACAUCUUUAAUAGUUCAGUUCUCAGCAGAGUGUUUCCUAAGCUAUGGAAACAGUCUAAAAUUGUGCCUUUACUUAAAGAUAAAAAGGCAGGGUUUCCUCCUUCUAAUUGCAGACCAAUUCAUAUUCUUCCUGUAUUAAGCAAAAUAUUUGAAAGGUUACUUUUUAAUCAAAUGCUAGAGUACUUUACAUUAAAUUAAUUGCUAACGAGUUCACAGCAUGCCUAUAGACCAGGCCAUUCAACUAACACUGCAUUAGUGCAUAUGGUUGAUCAGUGGCU